rnacentral:misc_RNA from 1 species
UCCGGUUUGGCACCGGCAGUCUCUCUAGAGUGCCCGGCAUUACCCGCUGGUAACUAGAGACGGGGGUUGCGCUCGUUGCGGGACUUAACCCAACAUCUCACGACACGAGCUGACGACAGCCAUGCAGCACCUGUGCAGGGACUCCGAAGAGGGGCCGGCGUCUCUGCCGGCUUUCCCCUGCAUGUCAAGCCUAGGUAAGGUUCUUCGCGUUGCGUCGAAUUAAACCACAUGCUCCACCGCUUGUGCGGGCCCCCGUCAAUUCCUUUGAGUUUCAGCCUUGCGGCCGUACUCCCCAGGCGGGGCACUUAAUGCGUUAGCGCCGGCACCCGGGGGGUCGCUCCCCCAAGCACCUAGUGCCCAUCGUUUACGGCGUGGACUAC